GGAGAGAUGGCUGAGAGGUUAAGGCGCAUAUGUAUAAAGGGUUCGAAUCCCUUUCUCUCCG
rnacentral:tRNA from 1 species